UAGGGCACAAAUUUUGUAAAACAUCAAUCUCUUCCGUCGCUAAAGACAACUUUAUUAUUUUUCCUAGGGCACAAAUUUUGUAAAACAUCAAUCUCUUCUAAAACAGCAGAAACACACGAGAGAGCAAAAUUAGGCGGCUGAGAGCAAAAUCAGUAGAAGACAGACAAUGAGGGUUUUCAAGAACAAGAGCAAAAAUUAUUAGCCAAUGUGAAUCUAAGGUUUGUAGAUGGCUUUGUUUCUUCUUCAAUAAGCUUAUCACUAAUCUUUUGUUAUCAUUUGUGAUAAAAAAUCAGAUUUAUUUGAAACUGGUAUCUCUUUGGGAGAUUUAUUUAUAUAGCUUAGCAAAAUUUGUAUUUUGGGACUUUUUUGUUGAAUCGAUUUCAUGUCUUUGAUUGUUACCUUAUGAAACUUUAUAAGAAUAAGAUUUUGGGUUAUUCUUGACUUUAGAUGUGAUAAAAUCAAAACUUCAAGUGAACACUGAUAUUUUGUUGGAAUUUUAUAUUACAGUUAUUGGAGUAUUGUAGCUUAGCAAAUAUUAUGUUUUCGAUUUUUUUGUUGGACAAAUUUUUGUCAUAUGAUGUGGUUUCAUUUUUUUAUUGUUUAUUUAUAUCAUGAAAGCUUAUAACAAUCAGAUUUCUGUGUCAAUUUUGACACAGAAAUGGCUCUAUAGACCGUCAUCUUCUUGGAUUGUAAAAAUUUCGAGAAUUUUUUGGUAGAUUCCUUUGGUAGUUUAAUCAAUCUUCUUCUGCUUAUCUUCUUAAUUUUUGUCCAGAUCUACAAAAAAAUUCUUCACAUAGCUUUAGAUAAAUUUUGUACUAGAAAUUUAAUUUGUAUUUUUUGUUUCAUAGGGAGAGCAAAAUCAAUUGGGAGAUAAACUGGGUAAGGGAUUUCAAGAACAAGAGCAAAAAUUAGUAGCCAAC
rnacentral:lncRNA from 1 species